UGUCCACAGGCACUGUCUGUUACUCCCGCACCCAGGAGAGAGAGCUCCCAGUCAGGCUUUGAGCUCGGCAGGAGAGCCCCCAGACAGUCUGGAUGAAAGGGGGAGCCUCACCGGCAAGAUCAAUCCUCUCUGAGAGGAAGAGAGAAAAAGAGGGGUCGAAAUAAAGAAAGGAGUCGGAGAAUAGGAAGAGGAGAGCAAGUGAAAAAAAGAGAGGAGAACAACUCCAGCCGACUGAGCACAGAGAAACAGGCUUUGGGCUAAUGAAGACUGUGCCACUCGUAGAAAAAGCACACAGCAAAACAAAGCCCACUAGAUCCUCGCUAUCAAUAUUUGAGACACCCAUUGAAGAAAAACCGCAUUCUUCUCCAAAACAAGGUCGGAGCUGAGCGCCACCCUGGUGAGUCGAGGUUGUGCCGAGUUCGGCUCUGACGUUUGUAGGUGUUCAAUCCAGAAACUUAAGGAUCAGUGCAGCCCACGUCUGUGAGGAUGGAUCAGGUCUGUUGUUUUAUUUGACUUCACAGAAAUCUCAUAUUAAAAGAAUACAUCUGCAGCUAUUCUAUAAUAUACUAUAAUAUUCUAAAAUAGUGAAGUUACUGGGGGCUAUUUUUAGUGGCGGAUUAAUCUACAUUUGGGGAUCUAGUGAGUAUUUAGGACAGCAGGACAGAGUAUAGAUAAACUGUCUCUGUUCAUGGUUAUGAAGGAACAUGUAACUGUUGCACUGCAGUGUGGCUCACUGAUGUGUUUUUAACAGUUUUUGGACAACAAUGAAACAUUUUUUUGUUAAUGAAAUGAACACUUUGGUUUGACUCUGUAUAUGGGAUAUGUUGACUAUAAAAAUACAAGAUAUCACCAGACCCAUGCUUUAAGAGGUAUACAGGAUGUGGCAGCCUUGAUUUAAAAAAAAAAGGAAAACAAAUCCCCAACUGAAAUGUGUUAAUAUGAAAAGGAACGCUGACUCAAGAACAGCGGUAUGGUUCUUUACAAAUUAGAAUAAAAUUCCUUUCCAAAUGUCCUGUUUUCAUAAAUCUGCACAUAAAUAUCCUGAGUGGAGAAGCCAGAGAUUGAAAGAAAAAGUGCAGAUAUAUCACAAAAUGAUUUUGCAAAAAAGUUGACAUAAGGAACAAAUGUGGAUGCAAUAAAAGGUGAUAAAAAGGUUUACAUAGGCCUAUACACUAGAUGUUGCAGUACCUGCUGCUGCAGCUUCUGUUGUAGUCAAGGCUGUACCUCCAGCCACAUCCUAAACUAGAUACUAAAACUUUGGUAAAAGUAGGUUUAUAUCAUUUGAAAAAACAGAUUUUGACAGUACAGUCCCGUUGCUACAUUACUCAUCCUUAAAAGCUACUAGGCGCCUCCUGUCUGACCCCUGCAGCCCUCCUGGCUCUGUGAGGAUUGGAUCUGUGAGAAGUCCCGGCUCAUGAUCAGCAGAGCGAGAUGUGGAGAAGGUGAACAAGUGCUGGGCCGGCAUGAUGGCAGGCACCGCUGCUCCUGCCCUGAGACACGAGCAGCACACUGUCUGUCUGAGCUCAGCAGCUGGACUGCUGUCAGUCUGCGUGCAGGUGUCUGUCACUCUCUCUGGCUGAAGCCUGAGAUGCUUACUGCCUCUUUCUCUCCUUUUUUCAUUGUUCCUUUUGCACACGUAUACCUCACCUUAAGAGCCGAUACUGAAGCCAGGUGCUUUUAAAAUCUUUUUGCGACUUGGCAACUUUCUUAUUUUCUAUCUUUGUACUUCCAUCUGGUCCUCCUCUCCCUAUAUAUACACACAUUGACUUUAGUUUCUAAUCUGAAUUUAUUUUCUUUUUUUUUUAAUGCAGCAUGGUCAAACAAGUUAUCAUAGCACACAUAUUCAUCAUUGUUAUGUCAUUAGGUCUCUUAUUUUGUAUUAUAGUUCAGGGCAACCUGCGGCUCUGGAGCCCCUCUCCAGUGGCUCACUAUGGCUUUGACAAAAAAUAAGGUGGAAAUGGAAAACAGUUAUCUUUUAACUUUUUUUAUUUAUCACUGUUGUAAUGAUUGUUACAUUCUCCAAUUGUAAUUGUGCCAUCAGGCCCCCAAGCUGUGGAACAGCCUUUCAGAGAAGAUUAGGAUAGCUAAUUCUAUCACUUCAUUUAAGUCUUCUUAAAAUGCACUCUUCUUUUAAUUAUAUUUAUUUUUAUGUAUUGCUCAGUUUUACAGUGUUAUUGCUUAUUCUAUAUAUUGUUACUGAUAGUGCUAUAGUCUUAGGGCAAUGUUUGAUGUUUGUUAUGUUUGUGAAGUAAUCCAAAAACUACAAUCAGAUUUUUUUUGUAAUCCAAUGGAUUAUGUUACUCAUUUAAAAAAAAAAAGCCAUCUAAUUUGUAUUCAGAAACUGACUACAUUGCAAAGUAAUCUCAAAGUAAUUCUAUUUAGUUUAUUAUCUAUUAUCUAUUUAUUUUCAUACUCUUGGUUAUUAUUUGAUUAAUUUAGUUGGUGUAAUGUUCAAUUGUAAAUGGACUGUACUUAUAUAGCAACUUUCUAGGCUUGCAACCACUCAAAGUGCCAUACACUACAUAUCACAUUCACACACCGAUGGCACAGCAUCAGGAGCAAUUUGGGGUUCAGGAUCUUGUUUAAGGACACUGCACUGCAGCAGGAGAAGCCAGGGAUCAAACCACCAACCUUCUGAUUGGUGGAAAACCCGCUCUACCUUAAAUUUCCCGGUUGUGGGAUCAAUAAAGGAUUAUUUGAUUUUAUGGUAUGUUCUGGAAGCAGUCAGCUGACGUGUACUGUACAGGAUUUGCUGUUAGAGGGCUGAACAGGAAAUAAUCACUGGCAUGGCUCUUUAAUUUUGGGUGUAAAAGGAACUGCUGUGGAUGUGGGCUUCUUUUAUUCACCACUAAAAUCACUGAGGACCUCUGCCUCUCUGCCUUCACCACUUCCUUCACCGCUGUCAUCAGCACAGCAACACAGGUGAACCAGUCCACUGCCUAAUUAGAGGGUCAGAGAGGAAAGAAGGAGCAGCAAUUUAACACAGACCUGAUUUCCUUACGGUCCUUCAUCCCACUGUGCUCAGGCAGGGACAACCCAGAGAGAACCAUUCAGCAGUUUAUGCGCCUACGCAACAGGCAGCCAACUUCUAUUCAAACACACAGAGAACAACGUGCAGGAGCUGUUAUACAUAGAGGGGGAGCUGGGAGAGAGGAAAACUAAAGGGCAUUUAAAGGUUAAAAGCAAUCUGGGUUGGGAUUAGGUGAGCAGUGUCAAUACAUUUAGGAGUAGCUGGCUCCCAUCCUGCAAUCUGCUAAACAGCUUAUUAUCCUGGCUGAGUAACUUUCACACCCUGGUAGCUACACUGCAAAAAAGGAAUCUCAAGAAAUUAAAAAAGCCUUGUUUCUGGUAAAUGAGUCUUCUUUUGUGUCUAAAAAGAAAAGUAAUUGUCAGCAUGUGUUGCACUAGAAAGUAAUCUUGUUUUAAGAAAAUAUAUCUAACUGACUUAAAAAGAUAUGACAACUAAUACUGAGCUAGAUAAAACCAGUAAAAACAAUGGUUUGCAUAAUAUCCCAGAAGGGGAGGAGGUCACGGGGCAGACCGAGGACCAGGUGGAAAGAUUAUAUUUCAACACUGGCCUGGGAAUGCCUCAGGAUCCCCCAGUCAGAGUUGGCCGGGAAAAGGGAAGUUUGGGGUCCUCUGCUGGACUUGCUACCCCUACGCCCCGAUCCCGGAUAAGCGGAUGAAGAUGAGAUGUAUUAUUUAAUAAUUCAGUGGCUAGAUUUUUAUACUGUGAAAACAAAUGCUUUGGCUCAACAAAAAAAUUAACAUAACACACAACAGUUUGCAUCAAUCCGUUUGAGUAAUGACAACUUGAAAUGAAACUAAGUUUGGGGAAUUAGCUUUUUCUCCACAAUCAAAGAUAUUUUAAAGUACCACUUAAUAAUUGGUAGCAUACAUUUUUUUUUUGUUUUGUUUAUUAAGGGACACUGUAAAACCAGAUAGGUUAAUUUAACUUCACUGAAAAUUAGAAUCAGAAUCAGAAUCGGGUUUAUUGCCAAGUACGUUUUCACACAUACAAGUAAUUUGUCUUGGUGCAUUGGUGCAUAAAAAUCACACAAAUAUAAAGUAAAAAUUUAAAUAAAUAAAGAUAAGGAUAAAGAUAGAAAGAUCCAAAACUGUACAGGAAAGAUAUGUGCAGGACAUAAAAACCAAUGGGAGUGCAUUAAUGUAAUGCAUAUAUACAGGGUGGGUAUUAAGAGUAAUAAUAAAGAUUACUUAAAAUGUUCAAUGUAAUCCAUUUUAAACAAGAAAUUUUGUUCAAAUACUUAAUUAUUACCUUACAGUGUAAUUACAAUACACAACUAGUUUUUCUACAUUAUUUAUUUAUCAACACAACUCAUCAAAAUAAUGUUUGAGUUAAGAGGUUUUGGCUUACCCCAUUUUUUAAAUUUUUUUUAUUGUUCAAUACAAGAAAAUUUGAUUAUGUUUAAGAAUAUUUGGCUAGUUUCUAGAAGGGCUGUUUUUGCAGUGGGUGACACUCUUUAUAACCCUAAAGAGUGGUGCAGGCCACUUUUACACAAGUUCCCACAGCAGCUGAAUCCUGCCUCCGGAAACCUUUCCACAGUUGAGAUGAAAAAUAUUUCUGAUCAGAUUUACAAUAAAAUAUGUUGGAGACAGCAGACAGAGGAGUUACUGUCCUCACUGCUGCUGCCUGCUCUUUCCUACACUGUCCCCGGCUGCUCUACGCCAGCACUAUAAAAUAUUAUUGCUGAUCAUAAUUCUGAUGUACAGCAGGAGUCAAUGAGGACUUUUUGUUGGUAACUUAGAAUGCAAAACAGAAACAGCAAAAUGUGAUUGAAUCAGAGUUAAUAAUAUACUGAGUUUGAGUCUAAGGGUUUGUUGAAAAAGAAAAUAUUUUUAGCUCUUGCAGCAACUGCUGAGAAAAAACAACAACUGCUGCAAAGUCACUAGGGGCCACCAAAGCUUCAUGGGGGGUUGUAAGGGCCUUCUUGAUUUUUAGGCGUACUAGAAAACAUAUGCAUAUAAUAUGUGGGAAUCUAGGGGAUCGAUGGAUAGGCUAAGUUACAUGAUAUGGUCACAUGAUUAACAGGUAGUCAAGAAGUAAUAAAAGGUUUUCCGGUAGUUUUUCUCAGUAGAGAGCCCUUUGACUCCUGCACCUUGCUUUGGUGGACUCUCAUGUAGGUAUGCAGACUUCAUUUUGUCGUUACUUAUUCUGUCAGCGUUUGUAAUGACUGCAGCUUAAGGUUGAUUUUAUGAUUAUGGUCCCACUAGAGCGAUAGCCAGACUACGGUUUUGAUUAGUGCUAUCCCUUUGUUUGUGUUUCCUUUAUGCGACCAUGUGUUAUUUGUUUCAGUUUAUAACUGAUGCGACCACCAAAAAGCUGCUGUGGCUAUAGAGACCAGAGACAUGGGUAAAUAAUGUGCCUAUCUGUGUGUUUUAAUGUUUUUAGUCUUUCGAUAUUUAUAAUGUUUGUUUUAUAUGUGUAGCUCUGGAAUCUCUCCUUCCUCUUCCUGCAUUACUGUCUUUACUGACAUUUUACAUAUGUACAAUAUACUAUAAUAUUUGGACUGGUAACUAAUGUGUUUUAUUUGUUUUCUCAAAGGGACCGGUUUUUCCUAUUUUUUUUUUUCCAGCUGUCUGGUGGUUGUUUCCUAUGCCUCACCAUACUGGGAAUUGAGGUUUAUAUGUAGUAGCAUAGGCCAGGUGUUAAGACAUACUGCGUAUCGUAUUUUUGGUUGCUAAUUGUAAUCAAUGCAGGGUGCUCUCCUCUCUUCUGUGCAUCCACAGCUUGACUCUGUACAAGGCUGGGCCAGAGUCAACACACUGCUUCAUUACCGUCGUGGGACUACAUUGGCUGACACUCCAACUCCGACACUGCAUGAUACUUUAUAGUGUAUAUUAUAGGUGUGUGUUGUGUGUGUGUGUGUGUGUGUGUGUGUGUGUGUGUGUGUGUAGUGCAUGCUUCCAUUUUUUUGUGUUGGGCCUGCUGUCACUCUUUUUGUCUCCCACAGGAUUGCUGGGGUGGUGUGUAUGAGCAGACUGACCCUACUACUGUGAGAGAGUAAACUCCUUUUUACCAUCUAACUAUUUAUCUGUCUUCUAAUUCACCUUAUUGACUCUUGAUAUUUUCAAUUUUAUAUGAAUUGUUAUCUUGUAAUAAAAUAUAACUUAUUUUUGCAUACUAUCUGCCACCUACCAAUUGCUCCUGUUCGGGGAAGUCAUAGACUGACAUCAUCAUUGGCUACAUGAUAUACUUAUGAAGAUAUUGAAGGUUUAAGGGUUCCUCCUAUCCCUCAUCAGGUUGUCAGGUUACAGAGAGUAUUCCCUAUAUUGAGUACCACAUAUAUUUCUCUAAAUCACUCAUUUUUUAAAGUUACGUAAAGUAACUUACAACCUUUUCCUAAUCAUAACCAAGUAGUUUUUGUGCGUAAACCUAACCAAACUGAAACUGUUUCACCACGUUAACCACGCAAGCUUUACUUGAAAGUGUAACCAGAUGCUGCAUUUUUAUUAUUGCUAAUCUGACUGCAGAUAACUGCAGAUGACUGUGAUUUACAAUACUGUGGGCAGAAGCACUGAGUGAGAGUCAAGCAGCAGCUCUCAGAGAUGUCAACUAGAUUUAGUUGACAAUAAUUAUGUUAUUUAACCACAGAUCCUCUCCAGACAUGUAUUUAAACAAUAUACAAAUAGUCUGUCGAACAAGAAUGUGUGUCUGAUAUGUUUUUUCUGAAAUAAUGUCCACAUUCAAAUCCUUAAAAAGACAUCAUCUUCUACCUCAUGGAAAUUCCAGAAUCACUGAAUAUACAAAUAUUGUUCUAAAGUUUUGCUGCUGGACACAAGAUGUCUCCUACUUCUCAGUGGAUGUGCACUGGUGGAUCACACUAAAGGUCUAGUGUGUAGGAUUUAGUGGCAUCUAGUGGUCUAGUUGCCGAUUGCAAGGCCAUUGCUUCCCCCUCCCCUGCCAAGCGUGAAGGAGAAACUACGGUGGUUGUGAAGCAUGCAAAAAACACCAAGGCCACUAUUUAGAGCCGGAGUUUGGUUUGUCUGUUCUGGGCUACUGACAGUUCAACAUGGCGGGCUCCAUGAAAGUUGACUCGGGGCGUCUGUAGAUUAAAAACAGCUAAUUUUAAGGUAACAAAAACACAAUAAUUCUUAUUUCACUGUUCAUUCCACAAUGAAGUCCUUAUUUCCGUGGUCCAGUUCAAACUGUGUAGGUCAAUACGUCAGAAACCAACUAUUUGCAACAGUUAUCACUUGAUAAUAGUGUUACAGACUUGUUUGCACAUGUACUGAACACCUCAACAUUUGUAUAUCAACCAUGGUUUGUAUCAAUCUGGUUGGUUCUAGAAGCGGCACAGAGUGGCAGCUUGACGCAACAGCUCCCACUCCGCCUCUUAUUUUUUUGCCUUAAAUCUUACUACUUCUUUAUUCCUUCUUAAACAGCACUGUGUUUAUUGUUGUAAACAGACCUCCAGUGUUGGUAGUUAAUUUUUUACUUUUUUAGCCGUAGUUGAAGUUUGGACACAAGUGGACACAACAACCACCACACAACAAAACACCGGAGGUUAUUCACGUGAGGACUUCCUACGGUAUCAGGAUUUACGUGUCGCAUGCCUGAGGGAGAUCCCGGUGGAGUUAAGGAGACGAAGGAGAGAAACCAGAGCAGACACGUUGGUGAGGACCAAGAAGACGGUGGCGGUGGAGAUACAAGCCAUGUCUUCCCUCGGUUGUCAUGGGAAACGUACACUCGCUAAACAACAAGACGGACGAGCUCUCGGCCCUGGUCAACGGACAGCGAGAGUAUCUGCAGUGCAGCAUAUUAUGUCUGACGGAGACAUGGCUGAAUGACAUUACACCAGACUGUUCAGUGGAACUAGCCGGCUUUUCACUAGUUCGGGCAGACAGGAGGAAACGGUAAAAAGUCUGGAGGAGGGCUCGCUGUCUUUGUGAACUCUAAAUGGUGUAACCCUGGACAUGUUGUCAAGAAGGCAGAAAUCUGCACACCUGAUAUUGAACUGCUGGCCAUAAGGCCAUACUAUCUGCCCCGUGAGUUUGUUUACAUUCCUCCAUCGGCAGUAGCGGCGCACGCCUGUGACGUCAUCCACUCCACCGUUGCAGACCUGCAGACACGUCAUCCCAGGGAAGCUGAAAGCCAUCAUGGACAACCCCUGUCAUCCUCUCCACGCUGAGCUGAGGAGCAUCUUCAGCUACAGACUGACCCAGCCCCGUACCUCAAAGCAGUUUGGAGGCUCAUUUUUACCAUCAGCCAUCAGACUCCACAACGCCACAGCACCCAGUAACUCCAACCCCAGCAGACAAAGACUGGCUUAGACUGCACUAUUUAUAUUUAAUUUCCACUUUAGUAGUUUUAGUUUAGUUUUAGUUUUAGUCAAGUUUAAUAUUCUGCUUAUAUUUUGGACUCCAUGUCCUACUUGAACAACAAAUAGUGUAUAUACUUUAAUUUAUAGUUUUUAUAUCUUCUAAUAUUAAUAAUAUUAGCAAUAUUUUUCUGUGAUAUUCUUUGUUUUCUGUUUUUGCGCUGCUUUUCCUUAUUGCUGCUGUGUCAACCUGAAUUUAUCCUUAGGGGGAUAAAUAAUAAAGGAAUUAUCUAUCUAUGGAUCAGAUGUGAAAGGUGUUUGCAUGUUAGGAUAAAUCCAGAGAGGAUUAUCAGUUCUACACAGCUGUAACAUCUGUAAGCUCAUUGCUUUGGUUUUGCAGCAUAUUUACUCACUGCCCUUGAUUUACUGUUUAUAUUUGUCUUAUUAUUAGUUUAUUGCCAGUCAUCUUUCAAAGACUUUCAGUUUCACUAACCUGUAUGAACAGUUUGUUGGUUUGUUUGAUUGAUCAGCAUUGUGUCCAGCAGCAGCAGGCAGAGGUUUUCAGUGAAAAAGCUCUUAAAACCCACUGUAAAGCACCAACAGCACACACAGUCAGAGACCAGCUGACGAGCCCGAUAUAUUUCUCAGGGUUUGGUGACCAAAAACAGCUAAAACGGAGAGAGAACAUUGGCCUUCUAUUCAAUUUAAUUCAAUUUUAUUUGUAUAGCGCCAAUUCACUCUACAAAUAGAGCAGGUCUAGACCGAACUCCUGGUAGCCCCUGGUCCAAACAGGGCCAAUAUGUAUUGUCAUAACAUUAAUAAAAACAUCUUUCUAUUAAAUGACCCUAUUUGGACACAUAUCUUAUCAUUGAUUAUUUCUGUUAAUAUCUCUUUAAAGUAUGUUAUAUUGGAUCUGUUUAGCACAUGGAACAUUGCCAACACACCUACAUGAUUUAACCAUAUGUGGCUGCAGCGGGAAUAAAUAGGACUGAAUUGAAUUGAGUCAUGUUGGUGAUGCAUUUUAUUUUUCUUUCAUUUAUUACCUGGCUGCUUUGUGGCCAGUAGCCAACACUAAUGCAUUAGGUGGGAGAUCAUUAAAGAGACUAUUACCUCGCUGUUUCUUCGGCAGACAGUGGAUGAGAAUCACAUUUUCUAUUAUGAAUGGAGCCAACGACCAAUCUGGGGUGAAUUUCUGCUUCAUAAUAUAUUUCUCUCCCUCUCCCCUACUCUGCCGUUAGCUCUCUCUGCCUCUCUCACUCUUUAUCUCCUCAGUUUCGUGCCUACUGGAUAUCCCAUCUAUUUCCCAGGCCCUGAUUUUAAUUUCCUGUCCGCUGUCAGUUAUAGACCGUCUCCACGGCAGAGAGCAGGAGAACACAGAGAAUAAGAAAGAGGAGACCCACAGCAGUAACUACCCGCUUGAUGUUUCCCUGGGACCCGUCCAGCUCUGUUCUAACCUCGCAGGGGACAUUGUUAGAGAGAAAUAGAAAAAGAGGCCGGAACCAUAUUUUUCAUUUACAUUGUCUGCAGAAGAAUAAAAUAUUGAUUAUGAUUGA